GUGAAACUUCUGGAAGCUGUGAGGUUUCACCAGGCAUUGGUGGAAGUUGCGAGGCGCGUGCAGAGAGGCGCGGGCGGGCCAAGGGUGCACAUGCCUAUGGCAUGCCAAAACGAGGUUCAUAACUGCAAGAAUCCGCCAGAAAAUUCCAAAACGUGCCAGACAGCUCCCAGACCGCCCAAACAGCACCAGACACGUGGCAAAUCACCAACCACAUGAUUUAGACGGCCAAACAUACUUUUUUGCCUAUAAAUACCCCAUUUGCAUUCUUUUAAAAAGAAUAGAAGCCUCCUACACCUAAAGAGCUAUAAGGACACUUUGUAAUCACUUUGUAGAGACUUUGUGAGCUUUCUUGUAUUAUUUGUCUUGUAAAUUUUUCCAAGUGUAAUAUAAAGCCAUUUUCCCCAAUUCUCUUUCCUUCUUGCUAGUUUUAGGUUGUUUUGCUUCCUUCACCCCCUAAGAGCUGUUUAAGCCCUUUACAACCGUUUAUUUGCUUUCCGCUGCGUAUUAAAAGGGUAAGGCUGACUUAGUUCACGUUAGAGAGCUAAGUGUUGCAUUGCUCGAGUGAUUUUUGGGUUGGAAUCAUUCAGGCCGUGACAAUAUACUAAGACUUGAGGGAAUAGUUCUUCCCCAUUCUCUUUUCUUUUCUUUUCUUCUUCUUCUUCUAUAUGGUAUUGGUACCAGAGCUAGCCCAUAAUUUCUUCCUUUGUUUUUCCACUACCCUUUCAACUUGGUAGGGUGAGAGAGAUGUUCUAACUGCGCCACCCUUCUCAUCAGCACUCAAGGUUGCUGAUUGGCCUAUCCCCAAAAGCUCAUAGCUGGAAAACCAGUCACCUGCACCCACACACUGCUACAAGCUCUGCCCUCUACCACACACCGAUGCAUAAGCGAGCAUCAGCCCCGUCUUCAGGCCACCUUGAAUACGCAACUCCAGCCAGCCGAUACUGAACAACUGGGCUACUUGAAUCCUCGGCCCUCUCAAGUUGGGUCUAAGUUCUGCAUUUGCAUCUCUGAGUUGCAGUUCUGCUUUCUCAUUUCUAGGUUCCUUGGUUUCUUAUAGCAGACAUGGUUUCUGCCUCAGUUUGACUUGUUCUUUGCUUCGUUGGUUUCUGGUUUGGCUAUUGUUGUUUCUAUUGCUGAAUUGCAUUGGGUGUUGGGGAUUCUAGUGUAUCUUUUUAUUACUACCUUAGCUUACGCUGUUAGACUCGUUUUUAAUCAAGAAGCUUAUGACUCGUUUUUAAUCAAGAAGCUUAUGACUCGUUUUUAAUCAAGAUUGUUGAUUGCCCAAACAUGACUACUAUGGCAGCCUCUUCCGGUACAGGUACUUCUAAACACAUUUUCUAAUCUACUAUAUCUAGUACACCAACAUACUGCUGUUAAAUUACAAGGUAUUAGUAACUACAUAUAUUGGGUUGCAUCACAGAACUAUGCUUUUAGAAAGUAAAAAUUGAUAGUGACAUGGUCGCUACUUAUCAAACAAUUUGGGUAAACAUUAAUGCACAAUCAUGUAGCCUCUUAUGGUAUCCUCUCAACCCUAAGUAGCUCACUGUUAUUUCAAUGCCAUAAAACCUAUUGCAAGGUUUGGAUUAAAGCUAAAAUACUAUAUCCAUUGCAUAUAUAAGGUUGCAUGAGACCUUGUCUACUAGCAAUAGAAUCAUCAAGACAUUGCUAGCUAUUUGGGUCAAGUAGUAUAAACAAUUAAAGAUAGAUUGAAUUACUAUUAGGUCUCUGUCUUUUGUCAACAUGAACUAUUUAGUUCCUAUUCUUAAAUUAUUUAAUUAAAACAUCCUUGUAUUGGGAGAUCAAAAUCUUUAAUCCAUUCUGUCAAAGAAAACAGUAAUCAACUUGUUUUGCCUUAAAUAAGUGUACCAUUUAGGCCUUAUAAUGUUAAUUACAUAUAUUAUUUAAUCCCCGUAUUUUUAAAUGGUCAUACUUUAGUCCCUCCAACCAACGCUAAAAGUUGACUAACAUUUUAUUUGACUGAAGAAUUAAAAAUUUUGAUUUUGCAAAAGACAACACGUUUUAAUUGAGUGAUUUAGAAACAUAGAUUAAGCUGUUAAUUUUGAAAAAAAAUUACCCUUAAAGAUAAACCUUAUAGUAAUUACCAUUGACAAGGACUAUAUCUCUAGAACCCAACAUCUCCCAUUGUCUUUGCUUCUGUUGGAAAUCAAAGUAUCUCCAAACUCCAAAAAUUAGUUUUCAACCUCCCCAUCUUGUCAUAUUUAGAUUGUGAGUCAUGUCAGCCUUGAACAACAAGUCCCUUUUUUUUUUUCCAAGUGAACUAAUAAUGGGGCUACUUUUGUUCUCAACAUGCUCAUUCAAACAUACAAAUAUGUCAUACCCACAAAUGUUGUGAUUGCGUGAAUUAAUUAGUUUUGUGAUUGUAUGUGGUGCUUAUGCCUAGACAUAUGUGUCGUAAAUACAUAACAUGCCAUUUUAGUUCGUGUAGUAGACUAGUUGUAUAUAUACCAAAAGAUGUGAGUGAAAAAUCAAACAAUUUCCUCCAAAUUCUCUUUUAACUUGCUUUUUCUUCUUCAUUUUCUACAUGAGUGAAAACCUCAUCCUUCAAAUAGAUUUUUUUAACUCGCCUAACCUUGUUUAACUAUAAAAAUACAUAUUAGUAAUCAAAAGUUUUCCUUCGCUAAUAACAAUUUAUGAAUUGACAAAAGC
rnacentral:lncRNA from 1 species